rnacentral:rRNA from 1 species
AUACGGAGGGUGCAAGCGUUAAUCGGAAUUACUGGGCGUAAAGCGCGCGUAGGCGGCUCAGUCAGUCGGAUGUGAAAGCCCCGGGCUCAACCUGGGAAUUGCAUUCGAUACUGCUGAGCUAGAGUAUGGAAGAGGGAAGUGGAAUUCCGGGUGUAGCGGUGAAAUGCGUAGAUAUCAGGAGGAACACCUGUGGCGAAGGCGGCUGUCUGGUCCGUUACUGACGCUGAGGCUCGAAAGCGUGGGGAGCGAACGGGAUUAGAAACCCCAGUAGUCC